rnacentral:rRNA from 1 species
GAUGAACGCUGGCGGCGUGCCUAAUACAUGCAAGUCGAGCGAACGGACGAGAAGCUUGCUUCUCUGAUGUUAGCGGCGGACGGGUGAGUUACACGUGUAUAACCUACCUAUAAGACUGGGAUAACUUCGGGAAACCGUAUCUAAUACCGGAUAAUAUUUUGAACCGCAUGGUUCAAAAGUGAAAGACGGUCUUGCUGUCACUUAUAGAUGGAUCCGCGCUGCAUUAGCUAGUUGUUAAGCUAACGGCUUACCAAGGCAACGAUGCAUAGCCGACCUGAGAGGGGGGUCGGCCACACUGGAACGGGGACACGGACAAGAGUACUAAGGGAGGGAGCAGUAGGGAAUCUUACGCAAUAGGCGAAAGCCUGGCGGAGCAACGCCGAGUGAGUGAUAAAGGUCUUCGGAUCGUAAAAAUCUGUUAUUAGGGGAGAACAGAUGUGUAAGGAACUGUGCACAUCUUGACGGUACCUAAUCAGAAAGCCACGGCUAACUACGUG